AUUAUUGCAAAUUCAUGCUUAUUUAUGAUGGCUCCCCAUUUACCAAUUUUUAUUGGACUACAUGACUUUGUAAUUUGGAAAAUGUUAGUAAAUAUCAAAGGGCAUAUAAUUAAAUACAAGAAAGCCCUUAACUUUAUUGCUAAUCAGUGUAAAAAAAAAAAACACUUUAAUGCUAAUCCUAAUCCCAUUUUCAUUGAUAAAAAAAAGUUAACAAACUUAAUCUAAUGGCUAGAAUUUAGCUUCACAUGGACUAAGCAGUCAGCACCGACCCCAGACAAAGCCACGCCCCCAUACCCAAGUCUUUCUUGUGCUUACAAAUGGCUCCAUUUGCCGACCAUCACUUUCAGUCUUGAAAGUAGUUCUUUUGGGGACCCUAACUCAUCUUCCUCCACCGUUUCACCUCAACUCUUACAACUGCUUUCUGAAGCUCUCCAGCCUUGAUUGAGUUUAGUUUUUAAGUAAAGGAACACUCUUUGUAAUGGCAGAUUGGGCUCCUGUACUUGUUGGGGUGGUGCUAUUUGUGUUGCUAUCACCAGGACUUCUGUUUUCAUUCCCAGGGAACGGCAAGCAGCUGGAGUUUGGGAGCAUGAAGACUAAUGGCAAGGCCAUUGCUAUCCACACUCUUCUUUUCUUUGCCAUCUAUGCUGUUUUGAUCAUGGCUGUUCACCUCCAUAUCUACACUGGCUAACCACUUCCCUGCCGGGUGGGGUGGCAAUGGAACUAAUGUUUUUCUUGGUGGCGAAGGAGAAGGGGAUGAUGCUAAACUUGGUGUGAAAGAAGGGAUGAGUUUAAAGGGGAGGUAAGGUAUGGAAAUGUUAGUGGGUUUGCUUUAUGGAGAAGCCCAUUUUCUUCCAUUGGCUUCUGAUAAAUUGUUUUUAUUUUCAAGGCUUCUUUUAGCUUUGCUUUAUUGCUUUUAUUAAAGAUAUAUAUAAAUAAAAAGAAGUGAAUUGUAAAGCAACUAGGCCUGCAUGUGUAAAGUUGACCCUUUUGCCUGGAAAACUUGUUUGCUUGUGGCUUAAUGUAAUUUGUGUUGGUCCUAUGAACCAGGAUUCAUACGUGUUAAGAAAUUUCAAAAGCUAAAAGAAUAUACAGGGAGACAAUUUGAUAAAA